GACCGCGUAGCUCAGUUGGCAGAGCAUUGGGCUAGUGUUCCGAAGGUCGUAGGUUCGAAUCCCACCGUGGCCA
rnacentral:tRNA from 1 species